GUUCUCCCGAGCGAGGAGACAGCGUCCCCUGCGCUCUCAGAGCCGCAGCCGGGCCAACGGGGGUGCGGGGUGGGGAUGGGGCGAGGGGUUGCCGAGGGCUUAAGAGGGCGGCUUGGGAGACAGCUCCGGCCCGGAACGAGGUGUCCUGGGAACACUCCCGGGUCUGUGGCUUAGGGCAGAUCACGCUCGCUCUCCCAGCCUCAGUGUGUCGUUCUGUAACUUGGGUCCAACCCCGGUGCGCACGAACCCAACGCCGCUUUGCACGGAAAGCGCCCGCGGGGACGCGCGCAGAGCGGGGCCGGGGCCGAGGCGCGGCGCGCACUCACCUCCGCCGUACAUCUGGCACAGGUGGUCUCCAAGUUUCUCUCAUUACUUCUCACCGUCACCUCAGCCAGGCCACUCACCAGUCCAACCGAACUGUCUUGUCAAGGACACAAGUGACCCCCUGCAUCGCUAAAUCAAGUAGUCAGCUGCCUCUUCCUGGACAGCUGCGUGUGACCCAGCAAUGGCACGCCUAGAUGUACCACCAGAAGAUAGAGGAAUGGACUGGAUCUCCCCUCAGAGCCUCCAGAAGGAUCCAGCUCCACCAGCAUGUGCAUUUAGGACUUCUGGCCUCCAGAACUGUGAGAGAGUAAAUUUCUUUUGUUUUAAGCUACCAGCUUUAUGGUAAUUUGUUACAGUAGUCUUAGGAAACUAAUACACAUAUUGCAUAAUUUAUUUACUAUUUAUUAUUUUCUAUAUGCUUUCAAUAU